CAAUCGGUUUUCUGUCUGGUAUGUGUGUGCGUGUGUGUGUGUGUGUGUGUGCGUGUGUGUGUGUGUGUGAGAGAGGAGGGGGGGAAGCCGGCCAUACAAACGAGCGACGUGUCCGCAACAUGCCGAUCGCAUUUGGGAAAAUCCUUUUAGUUCAUUUGAGCAUCUUAACUGGCCUUUGCUGCUGUUUUCGUACCAAUGUGAAUCCCGAGGAGGACCCGAACAUACCAGCGAUCGCUAAGUACUUCACCACCAAAGGUAGGUACGAGGAAGUGAACCCGUAUCUCAUAGAGGACAUACUCGCUGUAAACAGAUCCAUCCUGCAGCCUCCAUCUGCACAAUGUCGCCAAAUACAUCUGACCGCCAUCAUAAGACACGGCACGAGGUACCCGACGAGCAAAAACGUCAAGAAGAUGCAGAAGCUCUACGAGUUGGUCAAGAACAUCGCCCCGGGCAAAGAGAGCUGGCUGCGUGAAAUCCAGACCCAGUGGACCAUGUGGUACACUGAGGACAUGGACGGCCGACUGGUCCAGAAAGGUGUGAACGACCACAGGCAUCUGGCCGUCAGGCUGUCAAAGCUGUUCCCCUCACUGAUUUCUGAGGAGAAGCUCAGAGGUGGAUUCAUCAAAUUCAUAACCAGCUCCAAGCACAGGUGUGUCAACAGCACACUGUCCUUCAAGGCAGGACUGACAGAGCUGUGGGCUAUUACAGAUAUGGAGUUUGACCACGCAGUGAACGAUGCUCUCAUGAGGUUCUUUGACCAGUGCACCAGGUUUGUGCAGGAAGUUGACAAAAACCCUUCAGCUCUGUCAGAGGUGGACAAGUUCAGGCAGGGACCAGAGAUGAGGAGGGUCACGGAGAAGAUCGCAGACCGGCUCAAAGUCCCCUACAGUGACAUCACAGAUGAUAUGGCCGAAGCUGCAUUCUAUUUGUGUGCUUAUGAGUUUGCCAUCAAGACUGUGAACUCCCCCUGGUGUCGGCUUUUUGAUGAAGUUGACGCACAGGUUAUGGAGUAUGCAAAUGACCUCAAGCAAUUCUGGAAAAGAGCUUAUGGUUACGAUAUCAACAGCAAGUCGAGCUGUAUUCUCUUCCAUGAUGCAUUUAGUCGACUGAACAAAGCAGCCAGCGAGAUCAAGUGAGUAAACCUCGUCCUUCAAUAUGUACAAAUGUGUUCAUAGUUAACAAAUCCAAUGAAAAAGACACAAAAGGACAAAACAAACAGCUAAAUUCUCCCCCCGCAGUCAGCUCUUGGCCCCAGACCAUUCAUGACUAGCGAAGGCUCUAAACUUGCUGAAACUUGAUGGGAUUUAUUUUCAGCUGGGUUAUUAAUAUAUAUAUACAGUAUGUGUUGCUCUGGUGCAAUGUUUCUAAAACGUUUUUUUCUGGCAACCGCUUUUUCAAAAUGAGUAACCAUCGGGACCCAACUCACAACAGGCCUUAUCUGUAAAUUGAGAGAGCGAUUUACCUCAUUUACACAUCACCGUAUGCAUAGAGGUCUAUGGGCUGGGCAGCAGGUGACCGAGGCUGUGACAGUCCAGGUCGGCCAUGCAGAGACCCUCCUGCCACUGCUCACCCUCCUGGGCUUCUUCAAGGACAGCGAUGCCCUGACCUCCACCAACUACGCCACGCAGGCCCAGCGCUCCUUCCGCACCAGCCACAUGUUACCCUAUGCAGCUAACUUACUCCUGGUGCUGUACGACUGUGGCGAAGGCGACCUGAGACUGCAACCGCUGCUCAACGAGAAGCCUGUGACCUUCCCCGGUUUGACGAGCCAGUCGGCCUCCGUGCCGCUCUAUCAAGACGUCAAAGAUCACUACAGGGAGCUGCUCCAAGGCUGUGACUUCGAGACUGAGUGUCAGCUGUUCAAGAGCCCUGCUUAAGUCUCAGCAGAUCCUGGAAAAGAGGCAUUGCAGUGGCUUCAUUUGUGUUUUAUUUGUCUUCCAGCUAAGAAAAGGCAGAUUUGGUGUCUCUGAAAGUGAUCACAGCCGAGCAAUUGUAUUUCCAAGUUCACCUGUACUAUUGCAGUAUUACUUCAACUAUAUUGCUUAUUUUUUUGCAAAGUUUCAUUCCAGAAAUUAAAGAAUUUAUUUUUGCAGUGUA